rnacentral:rRNA from 1 species
UACGAAGGGGGGCUAGCGUUGCUCGGAAUUACUGGGCGUAAAGCGCACGUAGGCGGCUUUCUAAGUCGGGGGGUGAAAUCCUGGAGCUCAACUCCAGAACUGCCUUUGAUACUGGAGCUUGAGUCCGGGAGAGGUGAGUGGAACUGCGAGUGUAGAGGUGAAUUCGUAGAUAUUCGCAAGAACACCAGUGGCGAAGGCGGCUCACUGGCCCGGUACUGACGCUGAGGUGCGAAAGCGUGGGGAGCAAACAGG